rnacentral:misc_RNA from 1 species
CCACAAACCUUCUCAGCUACAUGUGGAGCAUCAUUAACACUCUCCAGUAGAACUGCCACAAUCCGGUGGAGGUUCUCAGGACAAAUCACAGAGAAUCCAUUAGCGGGACUGUGCAACAACUCAAAUACACGACUGAGAGUCCAUGCAGUUGUGUCUUUGACAUGGUUAUUUUCAUCCUUCAUAGCAUUAAGCAGAAAAUCCAAGCCAGCAUUAACCAGUGGGGUAAGCUUAUCAAUACUUGGACCUUCAAGAAUUGAGCCAAAUGCAAAUGUAGCUGCUUCACGACAAUGCCAAUCUGGCUUUACUAUGUUAGCCUCCACAAAAGGCAUUACAAGGGGCACAACAUCAUCCCCAACAGUUCUAGCAACAAGACCAAGACAUGUCCCCCCGGCCAUGGAUAGAUUCCAGAUGCUAUCAUCCUGAUCUUGAUCCUCUUCCUGCUUCAAUAAUGUUUCCAGCAACAUAGGAACAAGAGAUGAAAGAGCCUUCUUUAUGAACUGGGAAUGAACAGGCCCAGAAUCCCCACUUUCAGUACUCAUAUACUCUUGAAGCUCUAUCUCUUCAUCACAGAUGGAGCUCCAGAACUCAAUUGCUUGGAGGGCAACUGUCUCUUCAUCUCCUUUUACCGCAUUUGAUGUAAGUUGAAAGAGGGUUUGCAUAUAUGGUUCAAGCACGUCAUAGUAUGUUGACGCUAUUGAUACAAGACACUCAAAAGCAGCCUGUCUUAUCUCUGCCUCUUUGGACAAGGCUGUCUCACAGACCACCUUCAUUAUGUAAUUUCGCUCCAUUUCAUUUUCAAAGUUGGUCUGUGCAAA